GCCACAUCACGUUGAAACACCGCUUCCUGUACGACCACCGAAGUUAAGCAACGUCGAACCUGGUCAGUACGUAGAUGGGUGACCGCUUGAGAACACCAGGUUCUGUAUG